UGACUAUAUGUCUCGAGUUCCAUACUCUAGUGCUGUCGGGUCUCUUAUCUAUGCGAUGGUGUGUUCACAACCAGAUUUAUCUUAUGUCGUCAGUACAAUUAGUAGAUACAUGGAAAAUCCUAGCAAAGAACAUUGGAAAGCAGUUCAGUGGAUUUUCAGAUACUUGCAUGGAUUUUAAAAAAUCUAUAAUAUAUUAUCGUGAAAAAUGAGGCCCCUUAAAUUUGGGGGCCUAAGGCGACCGCCUAUUUUUUUCUAAGGUAGAGCCGUCCCUGAUUACUACUAUCUUUUGUGACAUUCAGAGUGCUAUCUUCCUUAUAAAAAUUAGAUAUUUCACUAGAUUACAAAGCACAUCAAUGGUCAGUAUCACUUUGUGCGUGAAAUUGUUGCUCAUGGUGAUAUUGUGGUGAAUAAGAUUAGUAUUCAUGAUAAUCCUGCUGAUAUGAUGACCAAGACACUACUAAGUGCCAAGUUUGAGCAUUUCUUGGACUUGGUUAGUGUUAAAUGUUAAGAUGUGCCCUUAGGGGCUUUUGUGGAAGAGUUGGAGAGUUAAUCUUGAAAUGGAUUUGAGUUCUAAAUUAGAAUUCGUGUCAAGUUGGAGAUUGUUAGAGUUGUGACCCGAAUUUUGUUGAUCCGGCCCAGAAAGUUUCAUGGUGCGAUCCAUGUUUGUGAUGUGAUUUACUGGGUUUUUUGGGUAUCUAGAAAGUAUUCAUUCUCCACAUUGUACUCCUCUCCUUUCAUUAUAGUGAAACAUCCUCUACCUCUGCCCGUGGUUUUUUCCACAAGGGUUUUCACAUAAAUCUGUGUGUUUUUAUUUUCUUUCUGCUUGUGGUUUGCUUUAUUUCUGCCUGAUUCCUAACACUGUCCAUUCGAAAUAGUGACUUUUCCGAACAACCACAACCAUCCAAAAAAUAAUACUUUUUCUCAAAAUAGUGUAUUAUUUCCUCGAAGGGUUGCAUCCCUUUCGAGGCAGCAUUUCUCAUUUCUGCAGUUGUAUCUGCACCGCAUGCAUGCACGUUAAUGGGGGAACAAAAAAAUGGUGUGUUUUUCCUUUGGAAUCUUAGAUCACUUGAUUUUCCAAAAAAAACUGGAAAGUGAUUCAUAUAUACUGUAGAACAAUUUCAUAGAAAGAGAGAGAAAGUUUAUGGGUUAUUUAUUUUAGCUAGAAAUGUUAAAUAUUGUUAUUUGAUGUCAAAUUGAAUCAUAAAUUGUUACAUUGUGUCAAUUUACCAUUAUUUUAUGUAAAAAUUAUUUUGUAUGUACUUUUUAAAUUAUUUAUUGUAAACUGUAGAUAUAUUUUUUUUAUAUUUGUUGAAUUAAGUUUUUAAUUGUAAGCCAUAGCAGUUUUUUAAAAAAUAUUAUAAAAAAAUUCUAUUAUAUAUAUAUAUAUAUAUACAUGAAUAAACAUAAAUAUAUAUAUAUAUAUAUAUAUAUAUAUAUAUAUUAUAUCUGUUAAAAUCUCUCUUAAAUAUUUGAAUUUACCUUUCUCCCUCAUCUAUUUUCUUAAAUAAAGGAUUGAUAAUAAAUUCUUAAUUUUCUCCUUACUGUUUUAUACUUUUUUUAACUCAAAUCCUCCACCUAACAAAGUAAAAUGAAAAAAAAAAUACGGUAAAAGGAUUAUAAGAAAUCCUAAAUUUCUCCUUCUUUCAUUUUCUUAAAUAUUUUUUUUAUAUUAGUUAAUCCUUUCAAAAAAUUUAAUAAUGUUGUCUUUUCAUAAAUUUCUCUCAUAUGUGUUUCUUAGUUCUUUCAUACUUUAUUUUCAUUGAUAUUAAUAAUUACUUUAAAUUGCUUUCAUUGCAUACACUUUGAUCAGAUUGUUGAAAUCCAUAUUUUAUUCUUAAUUUUUUCAUACACUAAUAUUUAUUUUUUCCUUAUUUUCUUGCAAUAUAAAUUUUAUCCAUGAUUCAAAUUUUAUACGUUAGUCAACGUGAAUUUCAUAUUUUCAUUCUUGAUUUUUUAAAUUCUUUUUGUAGGAAAUAACAAAUUCAAUGAAUAAUUUUUCUUACACAGUUGAUACAAAAUUGUUAUUUGAAGUUUUAUGAAAAUUGUCACACCCCUUUUUUAACUCCAAAAAGAUUCAUUUUAUGCUUUGAAGGGGUUUUUAUUAGUAAGUGACAAAAAUAAAGAUUUGUUCUAAAAAAGGAUUAUUUUUACAUUCAAAACUCAGAUUCGCCACUUGACAUAAUUCGGUGUGCCAAGUAACCGUUGGAAAAUCCUUUUCAAAAUGAUUUGACUCUUUAAAAUGAUCCGCGAAUAGAGAUUCCGGCUAAGAAAUUCUGUUGACCGAGGGGAAGGUGUUAGGCACCCCUCGAUCCCGUGGUUGUCGCUUGGUGGAGCGUAUCAGCUAAUUCUGAUACUACGAAUGUAUAAACCACAUAACACGCAACAAUCAAGCAAACAAACACAAACCAAAUCAAAAUCCAAGAUAUAAUGUUCAGUCCAACUAUAUAGUCCAAAGUAAAAAAUGCAAAAAAUAUAAAUCCUAUUCUAACCUAUACUAAAGUAUGCUCCGACGUUUUACCCGCUGCCUUGGGACUUCAUCACGAACAUCCUCCGGAUACAAAAAUACCUCGGGGCAUUCACCCAAUAAAAUAAUACAAGUACUUUGGGGCAUCCCCGGCCAAAUGAUACAAGUGAUCCCAAAGCAAUAUAGUAAAAAACCAUUCAAUCAUACCACUCAAGUAUUCCAUCAAUCCACAAUCGCUAAAUUCGCCUACCCGAUCUAUGUUUACAUAUUUGAGCUCGAUCACAUUCAUGUUUAUCCCAAUUGAACAAAACAAAAACCGACCAAAAUUUAACUACGCAACUUUUAUCAACUUUUGAUUCCACCCCAAAUCCAUUUUUAACCACAUGAUUUGCGCAUUCUUCAAUUAUUCAAUCACAUCUCAAAAUUCGAAACCAACAUCAAAUACAAACAACUAACGAAGAUUCGAACUAAACACACAACACAUAAAUCACCCACACCCACAACAUCAAUAAAAAAUCAAGAUAAAGUAAAGAUCAGGAGAAGAAAUGGACCUCAAUGAAACUUGUCCUUGUUGAUAAUAAAGAAAUUCGAAAUCAAAAUUCCCAAACCGGAACCUCAACAUGAAUCUCCAAAUCAAAUUCCGACUUCGAGGUUGACAGCGAUGGACCGGUUGAGACAAACAGAGUUCCAAUCCACGAAUAUUGACCACUUAAUCGUGAAGAACCCAAAAUCCAAUAUCCAAAAUGAACUGCGAGAAUAGACUAACCCAAAACCCAGUCAACACGAUAGAAGAUAAAUAUUCGUGUAGCCUGAGCUCUGGUGAGCUCAAGCGGUGGAAAAAAAAAAUGAUGAGUCAAGAUAGAUUCUGGCGAGUCCCAACGUUUUCUGGCCGGGUUUACCCGUUUACGAUCACUUCCCCCUUUCUGCUAUCUCCCUCGCAUCUCUUUUCUCUACCUAACACUCUCUCGAUUUGGCUUUUCUGAUCUUUCUCCCUCUCUGUUCCAAUCUCUCCCUAAAAAUGGAAAAUUCGGCCCUUUCCUUUCUCUGGUUUGUGCAUGUAUGUAUGUUACUGUGUGUGUGCAUCUACCCCCUCUUAAGAAACCAUGGAAAAAUUGAGGUGAGGGUCAUGCUUUUUGUGGUAAGGUUGAGUGGUGUUUUACGUACCAAUUCCAAUAAAUGGUGUGUUCCUUCAGAUGAUGAAGAAGAGGCAACCCCCCAAAAAAAAUAAAAAAAAAUCCCCCUUGUGUUCUCGUUAAUGAAGAAGUAUGUGUACAAGAGAAUGGCUAUGAUGAUG
rnacentral:lncRNA from 1 species